ensembl:lincRNA Gm28873 predicted gene 28873
CGACCUGGAGUUUGCCAAAGCUAUGUAUCCCAACAGGAUCGUCAGUGGAAGCUUGCAGUCUCACUGUGGGCUGUGCUGCUAACGGGGCCUCUGUCUAGCUUAGCUCCUUGAGGGGUGAACCCCGUGAUAAGGGGAAGUCACCCUGGAACACAUUGAUGCUGGAUUCCCUUAGAGAACUUCCUAGGUCCUUUCCUGAUUGUGUUUUCUCUAGUCAGACACAGGGUGGCGCUCUUCAUUAAGUAAUCUGCCAGCUGUGUGGGAAGACGUCUCCUGCCAACUCCUGUGACUCCAGGAAAAGGAAUUCUUUCCUUUUUCAUCUGGCCACAGAGAGGGGUGUAGAAGCACCUAGAGAAAACCCUCUGGAUGAAUCUGUCAGAGUUUCCAGAUUGGAAGACCCACCCUAAAUGGAUGGUGCUAUUUCAGGGGCUGUCCUUCCUCAACUGAAUAAAAAAGAGACAGCAAGCUGAAUGAGUGUCAGCAUCCAUCCUCUCUCUUCCCAACUGGAGAGAAAGUGUGACCAACUGCCUCCGGCUCCUGACGCCAGGAUUUCCCCACCAUAAUGGACUGUACCCUCAAACUGUGAGCCAGAGUAAACCAUCACUUCCUUAAGUUGCUUCUGUGAAAAAGCCAUGAGAAAAAUAACUAAAUUGCAUACCCACAAAUGCAA